rnacentral:rRNA from 1 species
AUGGGAACCUUGGACGCGGCCGUCUCCGGCCCGGACGCGGUGCCCGACCUCCGCCUCGCCGCGCACCAGUACAACCAGCUCCUCCACCUGCUCGCCUCCGCUGACUGCGCCGUCUUCCCCGUCCACCCGGCCGCCGCCGCGCGCCGCAUGUUCGCCGGCAUGCUAGAGGCCAGGGCACCCCCGUCCGAGGCCACCAUCACUUCGCUCGCCUGCAUCGUCGCUGCAGAUGCCCAGGGCGCCUACGAAGCCUUCAGGCUCCUCUCCUCCAUGCGGCAGAAGUACGGCCUCGCGCUGCGCCUCCGGUCCUACAGCCCCGUGCUUGCCGCGUUCCGGCGCGCCGGGGAGGCUGGCAAGGCAUACGCGGUCGAGGCCCACAUGGCGGCCUCCGCUGCAUCGCUGGGUGCCGAGAAGUGCAUCGAGCUAGAUCCUACAUUCUCCAAGGGAUACAUCAGGAAAGGCACAAACCAGUUUUUCAUGAAAGAGUAUGACAAAGCAAUGGAAACUUAUCAGGAAGGCCUAAAGCAUGACCCGAGUAACCAGGAGCUGCUUGAUGGUGUAAAGAGCAGAUCAACAAGGCGAACAGAGGCAAACUUUACCCCAGAGGAACUGAAAGAGAGACAGGGCAAAGCUAUGCAGGACCCUGAAAUCCAGAACAUCCUGACGGACCAUGUGAUGCGGCAGGUGUUGAUUGAUUUCCAGGAGAAUCCAAGGGCUGCUCAGGACGUCUCGGGAGCAUGA